GACGAACGCUGGCGGCGUGCUUAACACAUGCAAGUCGAACGGAAAGGCCCUGCUUUUGUGGGGUGCUCGAGUGGCGAACGGGUGAGUAACACGUGAGUAACCUGCCCUUGACUUUGGGAUAACUUCAGGAAACUUGGGCUAAUACCGGAUAGGAGCUCCUGCUGCAUGGUGGGGGUUGGAAAGUUUCGGCGGUUGGGGAUGGACUCGCGGCUUAUCAGCUUGUUGGUGGGGUAGUGGCUUACCAAGGCUUUGACGGGUAGCCGGCCUGAGAGGGUGACCGGCCACAUUGGGACUGAGAUACGGCCCAGACUCCUACGGGAGGCAGCAGUGGGGAAUAUUGCACAAUGGGCGGAAGCCUGAUGCAGCAACGCCGCGUGAGGGAUGACGGCCUUCGGGUUGUAAACCGCUUUCGCCUGUGACGAAGCGUGAGUGACGGUAAUGGGUAAAGAAGCACCGGCUAACUACGUG
rnacentral:rRNA from 1 species